GUUCCGUCACCCAUGUAGGAGACCCAGAUUGAGUUUCCUGCUCCUGGCUUCAGCCCUACCAAUUCAAUUGGGGAGUGAAACAGGAAAAGAAGACUAGCAAUUUGAACUCUAAGAGAAGACAAUAUAAAAUGAGAUAAGCCAAUACUUCCUGAUCCCCAAGACUGCGACUUUCAAAUCGAUCCAAAGUUCCUGAAAUUAUUCUUAUGAAGAUCUGAAUGCCAAUGACAGUACAUAUCACCCAUGACACUGAGCUAAGUAAGUCACCUGACAGCAGGAGUCUAAGUCUUUGCUUUUUAAACAUUCCAUUGUUUUCUGCAUUCAAAAUCAGUGUUUCAUCGAACAUGCUAUUAUUUGUAGACAUAUUAUUCUUUCAGAAAAGAUCUAGUAAGCAUGAGAUAUUCUAAAUAUUUAGUGUCAUUACAAUAAAAGGAUACCCAUUCUCACCACUGCUAUUCAAUAUAGUCCUGAAAGUUUUAUCCAGAGCCCUUAGGCAAGAAAAAGAAAUCAAAGGGAUACAAAUUGGGAAGGAGGAAGUCAAACUACCCCUAUUUGCAGAUGACAUGAUCCUAUAUAUAGGGAAUCCAAAAGAUUCUACUAACAGACUAUUGGAAUUCAUAGAAGAUUUGGUAAAGUGGCAGGAUAUAAAAUUAACAUACAAAAGUCUAUAGCUUUUAUAUACACACAACGCCUGGAAUGAGAAAGAAUUUCUAAGAUCAAUCCCAUUCAAAGUAGCUACAAAAAAAUGUAAAAAACUUGGAACAAAUUUAACCAAGGAGGUAAUGAAAAUUACAAAACAUUAAAGAAAUAAAGAGAAGACAAAAAUGGAAAAAUCAUUCUUGUUCAUGGAUUGGAAGAAUAAAUAUCAACAAACUGUCCAUAUUACCAAAAGCAAUUUAUAGAUUCAAUAGGAUCUCAAUCAAAAUACCAGCUAUAUGGAAGCUCAUGACAAGAGCCUCGGGUGAUUACUGACGUCAUAAAUAAGAGUGUCAAUUGUUAAAUCAACAAUGGGAGUCACUGUACACUUUCUCCCCAAGUAGGUGCUCUGUCCUUAAUAUAUGUACUAUGCAAAUUAACAGUAAAACUACUACUCAAACAGUACUCUAUACUUUGUUGAUCUGUGUGGGUUCAAAAAAAAAAAAAUACCAGCUAUAUUCUUCUCAGAUCUAGACAAAAAAUGCUAAAAUUCAUAUGGAAAUAUAAGAGACCGUGAGUAGAUAGAGCAAUGUUAUAUAACAAAAAGAAAGCUGGAGGCAUCAGAUUUUAAGAAAUACUACAGGGCGGUUAUAAUUAAAAUAGCCUGUAACUGGAAAAAAAAUGGUUAUGUAGACCAAUGGAACAGAUGUAGAAACUCCAGAAAUCAACCCAUGCAUCUAUAAUCAACUUGUUUUUGACAAAGGAGCUAAAAAUCAAUCCCUGGGGCAAGGACAGUCUCUUCAACAAAUGCUGCUGGGAAAACUGGAUCUCCAUGAGCAGAAAUAUGAAGCAAGAGUGCUACCUUACACAUUAUAAAAAAUCCACUCAAAAUUGAUUAAAGACCUAAAUCUCUGAUCCAAUACAAUCUAAUUACUAGAGAAUAUUGGAGAAGCUCUGCAAGACGUUGGCAUAGGGAAAGAUUUCUUGGAAAAGACCCCAGAAGCAUAGGUGAUCAAAGCUAAAUUUUGCAAAUGGAAUUAUAUCAAGCUAAAAAUCUUAUGCACUGCCAAAGAAACACUCAGCAAAGUGAAGAGGCAACCUAGAGAAUGGGAGAAAAUAUUUGCAAACUAUGCAACUGAUAAAGAAUCCAUAAAAAUCGCAAGAAACUCAACAACAAUAAAACAAACAAUCCAGUGAAGCAAUGGGCAAGGACUUGUACAGACAUUUUUCAAGAGAGGAAAUUCAGAUGGCUAAGAGAUACUUGAAAAAAUGCUGAGGAUCCCUAGGCAUCAGGGAAAUACAAAUCUAAACUACAAUGAGAUUUCACCUCAUCCCAGGUGGAAUGGCUCUCAUACAGAAAUCAACAAAUAAUAAAUGCUGGCAAGGAUGUGGUGGAAACAGCACCCUAAUCCACCAUUGGUGGGAAUGUUAAAACUUGUGUAGUCACUUUGGAAGACAAUAUGGAGAAACCUUAGAAAUCUCGAUAUAGACCUACCAUAUGACCUAGCUUCCCACUCCUGAGAAUAAACCAAAAUGAAAUGAAGUGAGCAUUUGUCCAUUGCAGCUCAAUUCAUAAUUGUUAAGAUAUGGAAUCAACCAAGAUGUCCAUCAACUGAAGACUGGUUAAAGAAAUUAUGAUAUAGAUAAUCACUAUGGAGUACUACUCAGCUGCAAAAAAAAAAUGAAAUUCUGUCAUUUGCAACAAAAUGGAUGCAACUGGAAACCAUUAUACUUCGUAAUAUAAGCCAGACCCAAAAAGACAAAUACCAUGUUUUCCCUGAUUUGUGGUAAUUAAUAGAGUACAUGAAAGGUAAUAUAUAGAAGUGAAAUUGACAUUUUGAAAUUUGAUGAUUAUUUACAGCCCUUAUCUUGACUGUUGAGGAAAAACUUUUUUUUCUUCACACUAUUUGUUGAACUCUUUACUUUGAUAGGGUUAAUCAUAUGAGUAUAAAGUUAACUGAAAAAAGAUCCUUGUAAAAAUUAAGAGUGGGAACAGGAGAGGGAGGAGAAAGAAGGGUUGGAGCACGGUGGGAGGGAGGGUAGGAUGGAAAUUAUCACUGUGUUCCUGAAUCUGUAUAUAGGAAACACAUGAAAUUUGUACAUCUUAAAUAUUAUUUAAAAAAUAUUGUUAAGGGGCUGGUGCCGUGGCUCACUUGGUCAAUCCUCCGCCUGUGGCGCCGGCAUCCCAUGUGGACACCAGAUUCUAGUCCCGGUUGCUCCUCAUCUAGUCCAGCUCUCUGCUGUGUCCCAGGAGGGCAGUGGGGGAUGGCCCAGGUGCUUGGGCCCCUGCACCCGCAUGGCAGACCAGGAAGAAGCAGCUGGCUCCUGGCUUCUGAUAGGAACAGUGCCGGCCAUGUCGGCCAUUUGGGGGUGAACCAAUGGAAGGAAGACCUUUCUAUCUGUCUCUCUCAAUAUAACUCUACCUGUCAAAAUAAAUAAAUAAAAAUAUUGUUAAAAUAAUAACAUAUCCAUGUUUUAAUAUUCUGAAUAAAAGAAAACCAAUGGUACUCUUCACUUGAGAAAACUUAUUAUAUUAUAUACUUAGUAAUGAUUCAAGGCUUAAGGAACAAUCUCAUUUCUUUUAGAUUUUAAAUCAGGACCGUCAGGAUACAAAAUUUAUUUCUAUGGCAACUUCAAGCUAAUACUUUAAUCUUUCUAGUUCAUACUCAUUAUGCUCUUUUCAAUAGUAUUAAAAUAGAUCGUAUACCUCUAUUGAUUGAAUUGACUAAAUUUAUGAGGAAAAACUUCAGUAUUUUAAAGCUAUAGUUUAUAAUCUGAAAUUGGCAGAAUAUUAUUAUAUAGGAAUAUGUCAAUGGAUGCUCAAAAUUAACAAAAACAUUUUAAAUAGAGAAUUCUAAUAUUCAGCAUUUGAAAUUGUGAGUUUAAAACUUCUCUGAACUUCUAAGAGCCAAAUGAUUUGCUCUAUUUUGGGGAAUCCCACAGGAGUCCCCAAAGAGUUACAGAGCACCAUUAACCCAAACAGAAAAAGAAAAAACAAAACCAGAAUGGAGUUACUUAAGCUAAGUAAAGCCAAAAUAGAGUGACUUGAGCUAAGACCACUAAACACCAGGAGCUGCCUAGACCAUCUAUCAAGACAGACACAGGUGGUGAGGCCUGAUAAGGACUGGGGGACACUACAUCAUAAAAAGAAGCCAACCAGCUGGCUACUACAAACUUCACUCCUGCUACUAUACCAUCAUUGAUCACACCUAGACACCAACAUCUGGGUGGUGACACCCCAGAAGAUGAGCUUGUGAUCGGUGACACCCCAGGGCACCUUUACUGCCCACCUACCCCAGAGGGAGGAUAAAAUGACAAGUGUCACAACUGCUCUUCAUCUUCUCAGGGAUCAUGGCUCAGUACAAGUAAAACUGCCCGAGUCUUCCUGACUGAAGCUCUGCUCACCACUCUGCUGGAGCCUAUCUCACCUGGACCUCUGAUCAGCCUGCUGCCAGACCUGACAGUGGAGCUGGACCAGACCUCUCAUCAGGGGACCUCUCCAGCUCCUCGGCCUUGCCGUCCGUCUGGGAAUUUCGAGCCUACUGCCCAGAGUGCCAGUCAUCCCACGACUCCUUCCCGUAAGUGACUGUUCUGAGAUCCGUCUCUCCGAGUGGUAACGGAGACUUUGGACUCUAAAGUUUGGACUUUGACUUCUUUGUGACUGUGAAACGAGCCUUGAAAACACAGCAUUCAUAUUACACACUUAGCCAUGAGUGUUUAGACUGGUUAUGCUUUUAUGCUUUUUAUGCUUUAUACUUAUUAAGAUUGCUAGGUACUUCUGAAAAUUGCCUUAUUCCUAGAUGUGUGUUAUGACCUAUAGACUAAUGAAAUAUUGAGUGAUACUGACCUUUAGAUGUGUACCUUAUAUAUAUAUAUAUAUAUGGAUAUUGAUCACUGAAUAAUAAAUUAUAUUAAAAAGACUAUCACAAUUCUGUGUGAUUCUUCCCCGUGCUCCAACACGUCACAUUAGCCUUGUCGAGCUGUGUGACAAGUAGCACUCACUGGUAGCUUUGGGAUCCGCAAGGAGGGAAGGCCUACACUUCCGGGAAUGGAGAGGCCUACUUCCGGGGAAGAAAGUCCUUGUCAAGGUCCCUGUGGGUGCCUAAAGGUCAACCAAUGAGGAUCAGACCUGCCUCAACCUUUAACUCCCAUGCCCUGAAUCUAUAAAAGGAGCUCUCCCAAUCUCUGACGCGCGACUUCUCCGGCCCCAGCUCUGUUGCUCUGUUGGGACCGGGGAACCUCGCCCGGGAGCUGAACCCCAAUAAAAGCCUGUGAAUUAAUUGAUUCAUCUGCCUGGGAAGAUUUGUUACG